UCCGGGUGAUGGGAGAGUUCGGUUCCGUAAGCCUGAAGCGCUUUGAGGCUGUCGGCGUUCAACGCCUCGCUUCCGGAU
rnacentral:tRNA from 1 species